AGAAGAAAACAUGGAAAUCACAUACUCGGAGUUGGUAGACCUUCCAAAGGAAAAGAAAAAAGGAGGACCUUCUGUGAACAGCAUUGCUGCUACAUUGUACUCAGAGGUUAAAAUCCACAAAGAAUAAUCUACUGCAUCAUCCGACAAAGAUGUUCUUUACUCAAAUCUUGCAAAAGAAAAAUCAAAGAAGAAGCAAGGGAGAAUACCUACAGUGUCUGAUGCCAUGUACUCCAAUGUCACAUUAAACAGUUCUUCAGAUGCUUCUCAAGCAACGUCUCACACAGCUAACAAGAAAUAAGGAGAAUGAGCAUAUCGUGGUUUCUAAUGUAACAUCUGCGAAACAACAGCCACCACAAGGUCUUCACCUGGCAUGCCUCUGCUUGGGCAGCCACACUUGUACUUCUAAAUCGGCUUCUUCUGAUUUGCACGGAGUAAUAAUCUGGAUGUGUUCUGUGUCUAUUCUGGUGAAUAGAAAUAGUUAAUGAAAAGAAGAACACAAUGAAAAUGUUCAGUGAUAAUAGAUCCAUUGAAUGCAAUGGGGGUGACCAAGGCUUACUCUUUGACUGCAGUGGUUCUUAAUUUUGACUGCAGUACAUUACGGGGGCCCAGAAAAAGUCCACAGUAUGAUGGAAAAUAAUAAUAAAAUAGCAGCAAAAUCACUAAAAAUCAAGCUACAACAGGGGUGUCAAAGUUGAGGCCCACAGGCCAGACCCAGCCCUAGGACAUUUUUAAAGUAACUUGCUUAAUUAAUAUCCAAAACAUGUUACAUACGGCCCGCGAUGACUGUUAGUUUUCUCAAAGAUCCAGUGUGGGACGCGUGUGUAUCAAUGGCUUUUUGAAAGUCUAAGUAAAUUGCUUUGUCAACUGUUGCAGGAGCCCACUCAAAGAAAUCUGACAAAUUAGUUUGGCAGCAUCUUCCUCUCAUAAACCCAUGCUGGCUGUUGUUUAGUAUAUUGAUUAAAUAUAGGGACUUAUCAAAUUUACUUUUUAAGUUAGCUUCCUUAAGUUUGCAUGGCACAGAAGUAAGUCUUACUGCUCUGUAAUUACCAGGAUCCAUUUUGUCUACCUUCUUGGAAUCUGGAGUAACUUUCCAGUCCUCAGGUAGUUCUCUUUUCUCAAGUUGAUGUUCAAAUAUGCCAAAUUCAUAGAUGAUGUCUUUCAUUUUUUCAACUUUAACCUGAACCACCAUUCUAGCUGUGCCACUGGUUACCACUUCAUGCAGUGAACAAAAUAGAGAAAAUACGGAGUGGCUAUCCUUGUAUCCCUUUAAGAAAGGACAUCAGAAUGAGGAAUAUGGUAGCACUGAGCAAUUCAAGGGUUUAUAGGUUUAUGGAUAUUACUAUCAAUAUCUGAGGUCAUUUAACAGUUUUUUCAAUGUAUCUUUCAUUUUUUUAUACUUAUUUACUAUUUUAUUUUGGUCUGUCUGCUUUUCCCUGUAUUAUUCUUAGUGCUUGGGUCAUUGCAGUAAGCAUAAAAUAGCAGUAAGGCAUAAUGCAUGCAGCAGCAGCGUAGGACAUCAUAGACACCAUUUGGCCCACAAGUCAACCACAAUUCACAUCAUGUUAUUCACCUCUCUCUGAAUACUUGUGCUUUAUCGCAGUAAAAACCAUACAUUUUUGAAACUAAAGGAAACAUAAAAUGCAGUCACAACUAUAAAGGAAUUAAUGAUAAACAUCUAAAUACAGUAUGUACAUAUAUAGUGCUGUUGUAUUACUUUUUGUGUACCUUUUUGUUUGUAGAUAUUUGCAUGAAUUUUCCUUGUCACUUUCCCACUACAGCUAUAAAAACCGAGUGGUUUGAUGGUGUAGUAGCAACAGUGGGUGUCUCAUAUUCUGAAAGCUGGCUUUCCAUAAUAAAUACUUUUUUUGGUAUAACUGUAAAUAACUAGUGAUGGAUGUUCUGAUUCACUUUACUGAUUUGAGCCUUUUAAACUACCCAUUGAUUAAUUUGAUUUGUGUGUGUCAUUCACAGUCCUGGGUAUAUGAGAAGUCCAAUGGGGAGGGGUUGUCCCCUCUGAUUGUGUCACAAAAAUUUUAAAUUUAAUAACUCAUCCAUUAUUUUCAUAUAUAUUUAUGUGUGUGUAUAUAAAUACAGUCAAAUCUGGAUAACUCGAUAUUUUUGGUGCUCAAAUUAAUUAUUGAAUUAACCGGAUUAUCAAUAUAGCCGGAUACGGCUUUUUAAGUAAUUUCUUAUCCUACACACUUGGCGCAGUGCUUUUAUUAAACUUCUCUCAUUACUCUUCAGUAUGUUAUUUAACAUUUUCGCCAAUGAGAAAUGGUCUGAAAAAGCAUGUUCAUGAAGCUGAACGGCUGAGAGCAAAUAACAGUCCAGUGUAUCAGAUAACAACCGGCACAUCCUCUUGUCACAAAUUUACAACACAUUGAACUCUUCUUUCUUCCUCCCUUCCAAUACUACUACACAUACACAACCGAUGGAUUGCGGCAUCAUUAAGAUUAUCAAGCACUUCUACCGAAGGAGGAGGAGGUUAGGAGCACGCACUGAUACAGCGUAUUGCCGCACCCACCAUGUGACAAACCAACUCAGGAUCUCAGAUUAGGACCCAUGCAACGGGAGAAGGCUGGCACUAAAGUGGCUGACAGAUCGUGAUGAAAACAUCUGCUGGAUGCUGUGGAACUUCUCCGGGAAUCAUAGGAUGCAGUGAAAGAAAGCACAAUCGUCAACUGCUUUCUUGUAGCCAGCCGAUUCAAGUUGCGCAGAAACUCCUUCUGAGAUGAUGGAUGACUUCCACAACAUCUUUUUGCUGACUUCAGGAUCUCUUCAGUGUCCCCCCAGAUGCAACACAAAAUCACGUGAAGAUGGCUCAAGACCUUUGGGGAUUUGUUGAGGAUUCCUCAGCUGCAAAAGUAAAGCAGUCAUUUUUCACGCAAUUUUUUGCACCCUGUGAGAGGCCACCCGAACACCAUCAGACAAACAUCAGUUCCUU